UGCAGUAGAACAUUAGCUUGUCAGACAGGAAGAACGAUUAUUACCCCACAGAGAAGCUGCAGUCACAGAACCAGGCCCAAGGUGAAGUUUCUCUAUAGACUGAGAAACUCAGCAGGAGAACAGCAGACCGUCAGAAUAUCAGGUCAUGGUGGAAACAGAGUAAAUAGUAAAAAUAGAGUUUGCUGUAAAUCACAUGUGCAGGGUGGAGCUUGUCUAUGCAAGGACUGAGAGGAAGAGGACAGCAGAACACCAGAUCUUUGGCAGCGUGAAGCAUUAAGUCUCCAUAGGUAUCUCCAGCUUGGAAGUAAGUGAGGAAUCAGGAGUUUAAAAAAAUGUCUAAGCCAAACUCAGGACAUAGCCUUGCUUCCCAGAUGCAGUUGGGCCCAGUAAUGUGUGC